rnacentral:tRNA from 2 species
GAUGAGAUGGCUGAGCCAGGUAAAGCGACAGUUUGCUAAACUGUGACCAUCUUAUAGGUCCAUGGGUUCAAAUCCCAUUCUCGUCG